UGGGGAAUUUUGGACAAUGGGCGAAAGCCUGAUCCAGCAAUGCCGCGUGUGUGAAGAAGGCCUUCGGGUUGUAAAGCACUUUUGUCCGGAAAGAAAUCCUUGGCUCUAAUACAGUCGGGGGAUGACGGUACCGGAAGAAUAAGCACCGGCUAACUACGUGCCAGCAGCCGCGGUAAUACGUAGGGUGCAAGCGUUAAUCGGAAUUACUGGGCGUAAAGCGUGCGCAGGCGGUUUGCUAAGACCGAUGUGAAAUCCCCGGGCUCAACCUGGGAACUGCAUUGGUGACUGGCAGGCUAGAGUAUGGCAGAGGGGGGUAGAAUUCCACGUGUAGCAGUGAAAAUGCGUAGAGAUGUGGAGGAAUACCGAUGGCGAAGGCAGCCCCCUGGGCCAAAUACUGACGCUCAUGCACGAAAAGCGUGGGGGAGCAAAACAGGAUUAGAUACCCUGGUAGUCCACGCCCUAAAACGAUGUCAACUAGUUGUUGGGGAUUCAUUUCCUUAGUAACGUAGCUAACGCGUGAAGUUGACCGCCUGGGGGAGUACGGUCGCAAGAUUAAAACUCAAAUGAAUUGACGGGGUCAUAGCUGUUUCCU
rnacentral:rRNA from 1 species